CCCUACGGGGCGCAGCAGUGGGGAAUAUUGGGCAAUGGGCGCAAGCCUGACCCAGCAACGCCCCGUGAAGGAAGAAGGCUUUCGGGUUGUAAACUUCUUUUCUGAGGGACGAAGAAAGUGACGGUACCUCAGGAAUAAGCCACGGCUAACUACGUGCCAGCAGCCGCGGUAAUACGUAGGUGGCAAGCGUUAUCCGGAUUUAUUGGGUGUAAAGGGCGUGUAGGCGGGAAUGCAAGUCAGAUGUGAAAACUAUGGGCUCAACCCAUAGCCUGCAUUUGAAACUUUAUUUCUUGAGUGCUGGGGAG
rnacentral:rRNA from 1 species